rnacentral:snRNA from 1 species
AUCACUUCUCGGCCUUUUGGCUAAGAUCAAGUGUAGUAUC